rnacentral:rRNA from 1 species
AUUGAACGCUGGCGGAAUGCUUUACACAUGCAAGUCGAGCGGCAGCGCGGGGCAACCUGGCGGCGAGCGGCGAUCGGGUGAGUAAUACAUCGGAACGUACCCAGUUGUGGGGGAUAGCCCGGCGAAAGCCGGAUUAAUACCGCAUACGACCUGAGGGUGAAAGGGGGGGAUCGCAAGACCUCUCGCAGUUGGAGCGGCCGAUGGCGGAUUAGCUAGUUGGUAGGGUAAAGGCCUACCAAGGCGACGAUCCGUAGCGGGUCUGAAAGGACGACCCGCCACACUGGAACUGAGACACGGUCCAGACUCCUACGGGAGGCAGCAGUGGGGAAUUUUGGACAAUGGGGGCAACCCUGAUCCAGCCAUUCCGCGUGAGUGAAGAAGGCCUUCGGGUUGUAAAGCUCUUUCGGCAGGAACGAAACGGUCCUUUCUAAUACAAGGGGCUAAUGACGGUACCUGAAGAAGAAGCACCGGCUAACUACGUGCCAGCAGCCGCGGUAAUAC